AGAGUUUGAUCAUGGCUCAGAAUGAACGUUGGCGGCGUGGAUUAGGCAUGCAAGUCGAACGAAUCCCUGGGGCAACCCGGGGGGAAGUGGCGGAAGGGGCAGUAAGGCAUAGGUAACCUACCCCGGGGCGGGGCAUAGCCAUUCUAACGAAUGGGUAAUUCCCCGCGAUGUGGCGUGCCCGCAUGGGCGUGACACGAAAGAAUUUCGCCUCGGGAGGGGCCUAUGUGAUAUUAGCUAGUUGGCGGGGUAACGGCCCACCAAGGCUCAGAUGUCUAUCGGGUGUGAGAGCACGACCCGCGCCACUGGCACUGAGACACUGGCCAGACACCUACGGGUGGCUGCAGUCGAGGAUCUUCGUCAAUGGGCGCAAGCCUGAACGAGCGACGCCGCGUGAGCGAUGAAGGCCUUCGGGUUGUAAAGCUCUUUAGGGGGGGAGAAAGACUGAUCUAUCCCCAAAAUAAGCUCGGGCUAAGUUCGUGCCAGCAGCCGCGGUAAGACGAACCGAGCGAACGUUAUUCGGAAUCACUGGGCUUAAAGGGCGCGUAGGCGGGCCGGGUAGUCCGCGGUGAAAUCCUCCAGCUCAACUGGAGAACAGCCGCGGAUACUCCCGGCCUCGAGGGAGGCAGGGGCAUCUGGAACUGGUGGUGGAGCGGUGAAAUGCGUUGAUAUCAUCAGGAACUCCGGUGGCGAAGGCGAGAUGCUGGACCUCUACUGACGCUG
rnacentral:rRNA from 1 species